UGGUAGAAAUAAGCUUACGAGGUCUUUCAUGUGGGUCCCCACAUCUGUACCCUAAAGUUCAGAGUGGAGCAGGAACCCUGACAGGGGCUGAGCAAGCUGUUU